rnacentral:snRNA from 1 species
GGAUGUGAGGGCGAUCUGGCUGCGACAUCUGUCAUGCCAUUGAUCGCCGGGGUUGAUUUGGCUGAUCUGGCUGGCUAGGCGAGUGUCCCCUUCCUUCCUCACCACUCCAUGUGUCCCUGUGUGCUCUGUCAAAGAAGAUGACCUUCCCCAAUAGAGAUGUUCCAUUCUUCGGUCAAGGGUAUAGGUGUAGUUGCACUUCCCUGCUAGAACAAGCUCCCAAGGUCCAUUACUCUAUAGUGAGACUCUCCAGGUCCUACCCUUACAACAAUUUCAGAUAUGUGGUUCU